GGAUUUUCUUAGUAGCGGCGAGCGAAAAGAAAAUAGUUCAGCACUAAGUCACUUUGUCUUAAUGGCAAAUGUGAGAUGCAGUGUAUGGAACAUCUAUAAUCUAGUAUGAUAAAUUGAUGAUUUAAGUCCUUCUUAAAUGAGGCCAUUUACCCAAAGAGGGUGCCAGGCCCGUAUAACGUUAAUGAUUGCUAGAAGAUGUUUCCAAAGAGUCGUGUUGCUUGAUAGUGCAGCACUAAGUGGGUGGUAAACUCCAUCUAAAACUAAAUAUUACCAUGAGACCGAUAGUAAACAAGUACCGUGAGGGAAAGUUGAAAAGAACUCUGAAUAGAGAGUUAAAUAGUACGUGAAACUGCUUAGAGGUUAAGCCCGAUGAACCUGAAUAUCCAUUAUAGAAAAUACAGCAUUAUGAUAAUGAUAUGAAUAAUAUUAUUUAUAUAAUGUGCAUUUUUUCUAUAUAAGGACAUUGUAAUCUAUUAACAUAUAUAUAUUUAUCAGAAGAUCAUUAGAUAAAGUUUAUUCUAAUUAAUUUGCUUCGGCAAAUUAACACAAAAUAAGUGCUAUUGAUUUGAUAAAGUGUUGAUAGAUUUUUUAUAUGGUGCUUAAAUUCAAUUAAUGAAUUUUGUAAUGGCAUAAAUUUCUAUUUGAUUUUUAUGUUUAAUUACAUGCACCAAUAUGAUUAACAAUGCGAUAGAUUCAGGAUACCUUCGGGACCCGUCUUGAAACACGGACCAAGGAGUCUAACAUAUGUGCAAGUCAUUGGGAUUAAUAUAAUUAAACCUAAAGGCAUAAUUAACUUAAAUGUAUAAUAAUGGGAUUAGUUUUUAAUCUAAUUUUUAAUUAGGUUAUUAAUUCAAUCCCGGGGCGUUCUAUAUAGUUAUGUAUAAUAAUAUUUUAUAUUAUUUAUACCUCUAACUGGAGCGUACCUUCAGCAUAUAUGCUGUGACCCGAAAGAUGGUGAACUAUACUUGAUCAGGUUGAAGUCAGGGGAAACCCUGAUGGAAGACCGAAACAGUUCUGACGUGCAAAUCGAUUGUCAGA
rnacentral:rRNA from 1 species